UACGUAGGCAGCGAGCGUUGUUCGGAAUUACUGGGCGUAAAGAGGGUGUAGGCGGUGCUUUAAGUUCGGGGUGAAAUCUCCUGGCUUAACUGGGAGGGUGCGCCGGAAACUGGAGUGCUCGAGCGUGGGAGAGGAAAGCGGAAUUCCCGGUGUAGAGGUGAAAUUCGUAGAUAUCGGGAGGAACACCAGUGGCGAAGGCGGCGAUCUGGGAAGAUACUGACGCUGAGGUGCGAAAGCGUGGGGAGCAAACAGG
rnacentral:rRNA from 1 species